UACGGAGGGGGCUAGCGUUGUUCGGAAUUACUGGGCGUAAAGCGCACGUAGGCGGCUUUGCAAGUUAGAGGUGAAAGCCCGGGGCUCAACCCCGGAAUUGCCUUUAAAACUGCAUCGCUAGAAUUGUGGAGAGGUAAGUGGAAUUCCGAGUGUAGAGGUGAAAUUCGUAGAUAUUCGGAAGAACACCAGUGGCGAAGGCGGCUCACUGGCCCGGUACUGACGCUGAGGUGCGAAAGCGUGGGGAGCAAACAGG
rnacentral:rRNA from 1 species